AGAGUUUGAUCAUGGCUCAGAUUGAACGCUGGCGGCAGGCCUAACACAUGCAAGUCGAGCGGUAGCACAGAGAGCUUGCUCUCGGGUGACGAGCGGCGGACGGGUGAGUAAUGUCUGGGAAACUGCCUGAUGGAGGGGGAUAACUACUGGAAACGGUAGCUAAUACCGCAUAAUGUCGCAAGACCAAAGUGGGGGACCUUCGGGCCUCAUGCCAUCAGAUGUGCCCAGAUGGGAUUAGCUAGUAGGUGGGGUAACGGCUCACCUAGGCGACGAUCCCUAGCUGGUCUGAGAGGAUGACCAGCCACACUGGAACUGAGACACGGUCCAGACUCCUACGGGAGGCAGCAGUGGGGAAUAUUGCACAAUGGGCGCAAGCCUGAUGCAGCCAUGCCGCGUGUGUGAAGAAGGCCUUCGGGUUGUAAAGCACUUUCAGCGGGGAGGAAGGCGUUAAGGUUAAUAACCUUGGCGAUUGACGUUACCCGCAGAAGAAGCACCGGCUAACUCCGUGCCAGCAGCCGCGGUAAUACGGAGGGUGCAAGCGUUAAUCGGAAUUACUGGGCGUAAAGCGCACGCAGGCGGUCUGUCAAGUCGGAUGUGAAAUCCCCGGGCUCAACCUGGGAACUGCAUUCGAAACUGGCAGGCUAGAGUCUUGUAGAGGGGGGUAGAAUUCCAGGUGUAGCGGUGAAAUGCGUAGAGAUCUGGAGGAAUACCGGUGGCGAAGGCGGCCCCCUGGACAAAGACUGACGCUCAGGUGCGAAAGCGUGGGGAGCAAACAGGAUUAGAUACCCUGGUAGUCCACGCCGUAAACGAUGUCGAUUUGGAGGUUGUGCCCUUGAGGCGUGGCUUCCGGAGCUAACGCGUUAAAUCGACCGCCUGGGGAGUACGGCCGCAAGGUUAAAACUCAAAUGAAUUGACGGGGGCCCGCACAAGCGGUGGAGCAUGUGGUUUAAUUCGAUGCAACGCGAAGAACCUUACCUGGUCUUGACAUCCACAGAACUUAGCAGAGAUGCUUUGGUGCCUUCGGGAACUGUGAGACAGGUGCUGCAUGGCUGUCGUCAGCUCGUGUUGUGAAAUGUUGGGUUAAGUCCCGCAACGAGCGCAACCCUUAUCCUUUGUUGCCAGCGGUUCGGCCGGGAACUCAAAGGAGACUGCCAGUGAUAAACUGGAGGAAGGUGGGGAUGACGUCAAGUCAUCAUGGCCCUUACGACCAGGGCUACACACGUGCUACAAUGGCAUAUACAAAGAGAAGCGACCUCGCGAGAGCAAGCGGACCUCAUAAAGUAUGUCGUAGUCCGGAUUGGAGUCUGCAACUCGACUCCAUGAAGUCGGAAUCGCUAGUAAUCGUAGAUCAGAAUGCUACGGUGAAUACGUUCCCGGGCCUUGUACACACCGCCCGUCACACCAUGGGAGUGGGUUGCAAAAGAAGUAGGUAGCUUAACCUUCGGGAGGGCGCUUACCACUUUGUGAUUCAUGACUGGGGUGAAGUCGUAACAAGGUAACCGUAGGGGAACCUGCGGUUG
rnacentral:rRNA from 2 species